UCCGGUAACCUAAGUGGUUACAGCGUUCGCCUCGGAUGUGGAAGGUCGCGGGUUCGUAACCCGGCCAAGUCAAACCGAAG